UACGUAGGGGGCAAGCGUUGUCCGGAUUUAUUGGGCGUAAAGAGCGUGUAGGCGGCUAGGUAGGUCCGUUGUGAAAACUCGAGGCUCAACCUCGAGACGCCGAUGGAAACCAUCUGGCUAGAGUCCGGAAGAGGAGAGUGGAAUUCCUGGUGUAGCGGUGAAAUGCGCAGAUAUCAGGAGGAACACCGGUGGCGAAGGCGGUUCUCUGGGAAUAUCCUGACGCUGAGGAGCGAAAGUGUGGGGAGCGAACAGG
rnacentral:rRNA from 1 species